CCCCUAGACGUUCUGGGCUGCACGCGCGCUACAAUAAUACGCACAGCGAGUAUCACCGAGCUCGAAAGGGCAAGGUAAACAAUAGAAAAGGUACUGUAAUGGUUAUAGAUCCUUGUAAUUAUUGAUCUUCAACGAGGAAUUCCUAGUAAGUAUGUGUCAUCAUCACGCACUGAUUACGUCCCUGCCCUUUGUACACACCGCCCGUCGCUCCUACCGAUUGAGUGGUCCGGUGAGGCUUUGGAAUCUGAGCGGAAAGAGCGUUUCGCUGUUUCUGCUCGGAAAACUCAGUCGAACCUUAUCAUUUAGAGGAAGGAGAAGUCGUAACA
rnacentral:rRNA from 1 species